rnacentral:snRNA from 1 species
AAUCUUACCUGGCAGGGGAGAUACCAUGAUCACAAAGGUGGAUUUCCCCAGAGCGAGGCUGAUCCAUUAUGUGCCGGAUGUGCUGACCUCUGCCAUUUCCCCAAAUGUGGGAAAUCCAACUGCAUAAUUUAUAGUAGUGGGGGACUGUGUUCACACUCUCCCCUG